rnacentral:rRNA from 1 species
GAUGAACGCUGGCGGCGUGCUUAAUACAUGCAAGUCGGGCGGAAAGACGAGGAGCUUGUGCCUCAGACGUUAGCGACGGACGGGUGAGUAACACGUGGAUAACCACAACAUCAGAAUGGGAUAACUUAGGGAAACCGGAGCUAAUAGCGGAUAGAAUAAUGAACCGCAUGGUGGACUAGUGAAUGAUGGGUUUGCUGUUAAUUAUAGAGGGUACCGAGCCGCUUUAGCUAGGUGGUAAGGGAACGGUUUACAAAGGCAACGAUGCGUAGCCGACCAGAGAGAGGGACCGGCCACACUGGAACUGAAACACGAGCCAGACUCCUACGGGGAGCAGCAGUAGGGAAUCUUCCGCGAUAGGCGAAAGCCUUACGGAGCAACGCCGCGUGAGUGAUGAAGGUCUUCGGACCUGAAAACACUGUUAUUAGGGGAGAACAAAUGUUUAAGUAACUAUGCACGUCUUGACGGUACCUGAUCAGAAAGCCACGGCUAACUACGUG